rnacentral:lncRNA from 1 species
CAAUCCCAAUGCUCAGUUGGCUUCACCCUUCCUGGACUGAUCUGAGAAGCAACUGAUAAACACAGCAGGAAGAACAGAUUAAUUCCUUUAUCUGGGAUGCAUCUUCUGACAGGAACAGAGAAUGGAUGGCCCCUCUUGGAGCAGAUCUUUAUCCGGAAACGUGCUAGACACAGAUCUUAGUCCAGCAGCAAAGUAUCCAAAGACUCUGAUGGAAGAGAGCGGAAAUUUCCACAGCUGGCAGGAAAGAGGUUGUAGUGAGCAGGAGGAAGGAUCACUGCUGUCAGAAGUACUACAGUGGGCUGUGGCAUUGUGUGGCUCAGAUAUAAAUCAACAGAAAAGCUUGC